rnacentral:lncRNA from 1 species
CUUAUGUAUCCACAGAACUCUCCCUCUCAAGUGGGUAAGAAAAAUUUUUAAAAAAGAUAGAAAUCCCCAGAAGAGAGAGAUCCACCUGCAGUUUGGAAGAAAGUUAUUCCAUGGUGCCUGAAGUGACUUCAACAGAAAAAGACACUACGGCAGAUGGCAAAGGGCAGCAAGAAGGCCCCUCUUCUCCCACGACGACAUCUCACAACCGUACCAGGCUUUCCAAUUUCCAAGGUGUUCUUCACACGUAUCGUCCUGUUUAAUUCUCACUAUGGCCAGUGAUACUGGUGAGACAGAUAGGAUUUGGCUGAUUUUUACAGACGAGAGUACUCAGGCUCCAAGAGAGAACUUGCCUAAGGUUAAAAGCUAGAAAGAGACAGUCCUGGGUAAACCAGGUUUUAAUCUGAUUCCAUUUAAUUAUUCCCCAUACGUCUUCAUAAAAGAUGUCCUCUUUAGAACUCCUGACCCAGAGCUUCCUUGGCUCUCCCUCCUGCCCCCUCCCUUCCUCACUAGGAGGUUUUCAUCAGGCAGCCUGUGUCAUUUGUGCAAUUUACAAAUACUCCCUGAAUCCUAUCAGCAGUUAAGCACCGCUGCGGGGUUAUGACUGGCAAUUGGAAAAAUCCCCUUCAUUUGCACCUAUCUUCUUCCUUCCUUUGAGAGUCAAGUUUACCAAAAAACUGCUCUGCAUUUACUUCUUUUCCCAAUUUAUCUCUCUACCCAAGGCAACCCAUUCCCACUCCCACCAGUGGCCCAUGAAAUGGCACCUUCCUUCCCUGCAUCAUUGAAUUCUGGUGAUGGCUCCCUCCUCUAUGAAACUUCCCCUCUGUUGAAUCUGGCACAAUUGUCUUCAUCCUUCAUUUCUGGUAAUUUCCCCGCAUGCUUCAUCUCAGAUCUUUGUCCCCCCCCCCAACCUCCAUCCUUUAAAUACUAAUGUUCCUGGUCAGGGUUUCUGUAGCUUUCUGUUCUUUGCUUUUUGCAAUGUAAACCAUUGGCUUCAAUGGCCGUCUAGAAAUCAGCCAUCAGCUUACCAUCUCCAGCCCAAACCACUCUCCUGAACUCAACCACAGGUAGUGGGCGACCUGCUUUCUCCUCCUUGGGAUGGGUCCAUGGAACUUGAACUGUCUUCCUAUUUCUUUCUUAGUUUAUUUCCUCAGUGGCUUUCCCAAUAGCUUGACUGCUGUCUUCCUCCUCAACAUGCCCGUCCCUCAAUUUAACUGGUCCGCAGAGAGUGCAAAUGUGGUGAUCUGUUGGCUUCUGUGAGGUCCUUCAGUGAAGGUCCUCCUUCCCACGAGGCCUGCAAGGCUCCUCUGGAUCUGGGUCUUGCCUCUCCUCCUGCCUCUCUCUUGGGACUCUUCCAACUCUGGGCCCCAUGUUGUGGGAUGCCCUGAACUCCUUGAUGCCUCUAAGGUUUUAUAUGUGGAUCUUGCUUUCCAGAAUGGUCAAUUCUAUUUGCCUCACUUGGCUAACCCUUUGGGACUGUUCCAGCAAGAAGCAUACCAUCCCCCUUUAAGCCUCCACUGAGUUAUGUGCUGCCCCCGGCUCCCUACCCCAGGGUCCCUCUUCCAUGGCUUUUAUCCCACUUUUACAAUAACUGAGUUUUCUAGUUGGAUCACGAGAUACUUAGAGGCAGACUGGUGCCUUUUAUCCUUUGUUCCCAGCACUAAGC